GUGAGGGCCGCUAAAGCUCGCUCCCUCUCCGCCUCCAACUCGGAACCAACAGGAGUCGGAUCGCUCGACCCCGACGGAAAUAUCUCCGCCGCGACUCCCGGCCGUUCUCGACGAGCCGCAGCUGGUGCAGCCACCAGCCGAUCCACCGUUUCUUGGAGUCUUUUCAUUUGUUCCUCCUGGCGCAUUGCAGCUUCCUGCUGACGCUGCACCACAUCAGCCUGUUGCCUCACCACCCUCACGAGUGUGGCCAGCUGUUCACGAAGCUCUGAGUCUCCGCUCGCAUCGAUUUGCUUGGGAACACCACUUGUCCCCUCCCGCGCCGAUCUGGACGAAGAUCGCCUACGCGGUGCCAUCGUUUUCUGAAACACGACAACUCGAUUAGUUCUCGACCAACUUGGGUCGAACACGAGACUACCAACACCGGCUCAAAAGCCAAUCAGGCGAAAGUCACACAAGGGUGUCUAUUCUCAUCACUCGGUUUCAUAUUGUGUGCACCCAACAUGAACACCCUCGAUUGAGAAUAAACAUUACCUUGGAUCUACCUCUAAUAUCUGUUUUAGAGGUUUCGACACAACCCAAUCCAUUAACCUUUCGCCACAAUCACAAGUCCUCGUCUCUCACGAGCCUUAUUCUCUUAUGGUUUUACUAUCCUAGGGUCUCCUAGGUCAUCUAAACCAUUUUCCCAUUCUCUACUUUAUGCUCUGAUACCAUCUUCUGUCACAGCCCGCGACCACUCGCCUAUUUGGCCGAGGUCGCGGCGCCGACAGCGCCGAACGGACAAGGUUUCCCCUGUACUGCGGACAGAGUCUCCCCUGUACGUUCAAGGCAUCGCAAUCAAUACAAUACGAAUGUUCCAACCAGGAACUGAUAUCAAUCAAGAUUGCAUAAUGGAAGGUAUCAAACAACAUAAACACAUCCUAUGUUAUUACACGCAUUCACAUUCACAGAUUUUUACAUCACAGUUCUUUAUACAUUCUCUUUUUUUUUUAUCCAAAUGCAAUCUAGUUAUUACAAAUUUAUUUACAAAUUGAUACAUUGUUUCUUUUCAUUUUCUAUACCCCUAGCCACGUCGACGGGGUACUGCUAGCUCUGGUCUCUGGGUAGGGCGCUAUCUAUGGAGCUACGCCCUUUCCUCGCGCCGCCGCGCCGCUCACGUGCGAACCUGUACCCCCAAAAGCAACACGGGGGUGAGAACUAUAUAAAUAUAGUUCCCAGUGGGUACGGCCACCCAAGGGAAAAGCUCGACCAAAAGGUCCAAGGAGGCACUGCAAUCAUGUUAGUCCAAAAACAUCUAUAGAUAUAUAUCAAAAUGUUAAUAUGCAACUAACAGAUAACAUGCCUCACGAAAUGCAAUAUGCAACUAUCAAAAAGCUCUUUGCUUGUCUUUACAUUUUAGCUAUUUGCUACCAUUCAUUUCCUGCAAUUACUAGCUAUUCCUUAGCAUUAGCCUUUUCAUUAUCUUUCAUUUUCUUUUUCUUUCUUUGCUCUUUAUUCUUUGUACUUGUACUUGGUGCUCUACACCUUACACUUGGGCCCACUAUACUCAUUGGCAAAUUCUUUCUUAAGGUUGCUCUUACCUUAAUCACACUAUGCCACCCGACUCGGUCUUGAGUCAAUCAUCUGCGGAUAGUCCGCGCUCUGUCCGGCUCAAGGUGAAGGACCUCUCACUUACACCUUAGCCUUCAAUCCAUAAUCAAGUCGCCCAACGGGUCGCCCAGAGCUGCGUACACCCGUGGUCAGGGAUCUUUCCGGUGGGAAGGGGAUUAUGCCACAAACUCAACCCGCGGCCCAAGACCCCCGAUAGGGAAGGGGAACAUGCCACACUCAACCCUAGCGAAGCACGAUUCUGCCGGCGGGAGGGGGAACCUGCCACACUCGACCCGCGGCCUCGAUUCAGUCAACAGCUCAUCCUCGAAGUUCGUCCAGUGGGAGGGGAACCUGUCACACUCAACCCACUGCUCUAGAACUGUCGAGUUCACAAUCCUAAGAUUCCGGAAUCUAUUUCCCAAGCCUCUAGGGUAAUCUCAAACCCUAUGAUAUCGACCUAUCUAGGUCCAAUGCACUUUCCAUCCUAGGUCUACCCGACUCUAGGUUUAACGCCCUUAUUACAUAACCAAUGUUCUUUAAACUAGGUUAAUACCUCUCUACCUAGGUUUUUAUUAACCCUAGGUUCAACAACACUAGAAUCAAUGUCAACCUAUGUUCAUAACGCUAGGUUAAUGCCACUCGAUCUAGCCUAGGUUCACGACACUAGGUUCAACAUCAAUCUUAUUCAUCCUAGGUUCUCAAUCCUAGGUUCAUAUUCGACCUAUGUUAAUUACACUAGGUUCGAUAUCAUUCCUGUUUAACCUAUGUUUACUAACACUAGGUUCAAUGCUACUCGAUCUAUAGGUGCAUUUAAGUCCAUAUACACAAGUCCUUUACUUGGCAUUCUUUAACAUGCAACAUGCAUUCAUACAUUAUCUUUUGCAUUCUUACAUUAACCUUUCUAUGCAUGCAUCACGGCCACCACGUAUUAUAUACUUUAUGCUUGUCACUUAGCAUGAUUUACACUAUGUCACUAUGCAUUACUUAGCAUUCUUAACAUGUACUUGUAUUUACUAUUUCCAUAUCAUGCUUAUCAUUAUACUUUAGCAUUCUUAUCUCAUGCAUUCUACUUGGCGUUUGUAUCAUGUUAUCAACAUCAUGCUUUCUACUUAGCAUCUUGCUCUAAGCACUAUCGUUAACAUGCAUCAUUUAUAUUAUUUACCAACAUGCAUUUUAUAAUCUCUAUAUCAUUUACAUGCAUCAACUUAGCAUUUAUACUUUAUUUCGCAUGCUCUCUAGCAUUUAUCAACAUGCAUUUAUCAGCUUGCAUUCAUUAUCAUUCAUUUCUAUAUGCAUCAUAAGAAAUCAUAUUUUCUUAGACAUAAAGGCGACCUAGUCGCUUCGGUAAACCAACCCACCUCGAUUCGCGUUCCGAUUGCUUGUCGACACUUGCAAUCGGCCUCCCGCGGCACCCGUAUCCGGCACGGCCCGAUACUGCAACUGCGCCUCAACCGUGCUCCGCUUCGCAGCCCCGAAAAUUAUAGGUCUUCGGUUAUGUGCCACGAUACCUCAAAUCCAUUUCCAUGAUUUUACGACGUCGCCUCGGCCCUCCCGGCGGACCCGAAGCCUAAACGUUUAUUUCUUUAAUAAUUUUGUAACGGCUCGUCGGAUUGCCGAACCGUCUUUGCCAACGCGUUUCGUUACCUAGCAAUUAGGUUUACGAAGGGUCAAAUGAGAUUAAACCCGCAUAUUUUGAAAGUUUGCAUUUUGGAGCCCUAGGUUACAACUAUGCAAGAAAUCACUAAAUUGAUCCAUGAUUCAAGCAUUAAUUAUCUAGAUAGCAUGCUAGGACUCCUCUAAAUCCAUUUAUAAGGUAUUUAAAUCAAGCAUUAAAGAUCUACCAUUAAAGGGCUCAAGAAGCUCACCUCAAAAUGAGCUCCAAACCAUGGAGAAGAUGAAAAAGACGAAGACGAUCCACCUCCAAGCUUCAAUCUCCACCAAAUCCAUUCUUUUUGGGAGAGAUUUAGAGAGAGAAAGAGAGGCUUCUCUCUUCCCUUCCAUGCGCGUGUGUNGAGCCUUGGGCGGAUAGGGGAAACUCUGUCCGUUCGGCGUCUGUUUGACGUGCUCGGGUCGGGCCAAAUUGGCAUCGGUCCCGGGGCGUGACACUACAAUCGCGAAAAACCCCCUGCAGACCAAACUGCACAAAAACUGCCUCCUUGUACCGGUACACGGGUUCUUGUACCGGUACAAGGCCAACGAAAAUGCAAACCCGAGGCUCGGGUCGCGCGGUCUGCGGCUCUGUACCGGUACAAGCCCGAUGGCUGUACCGGUACAACCAUCAACCCUUGUACCGGUACAAGGCCAGUCUUGUUCCAGUACAAGCCCUGCUGCAGGCUACCCGAGAGCUGUCCAAAAAUUCCGAUUUUGGAAUUUUGGUGCCAAGUCUCACUCCAACAUGCUCGGGAUGCGUGCCAGGGGUCGGAACACUAUCAACGACCCUCCAAAAACUGUGGGAAUGCCCCAAACACAGAUCAAACACUCGAAUCUUGCGAUUUGCUAAGAUCCAGUGUAUUACAAGGGCUCAAGAAGCUCACCUCAAAAUGAGCUCCAAACCAUGGAGAAGAUGAAGAAGACGAAGGCGAUCUACCUCCAAGCUUCAAUCUCCACCAAAUCCACUCUUUUUGGGAGAGAUUUAGAGAGAGAAAGAGAGGGUUUUCUCUCUCCCUUCCAUGCGUGUGUGCGUGUGUUGUGUGUGUGCGGUUGAGGCAGCCACGGUUGGGAGGAGAAGAAGAAAAGGGGUUUUAAACUCUUUUUACCAUUUUGCCCCUCAACUACGCACUAUUCACUUCGGCCAGUUUAUUUUUCGCCGGAGUCCUUCUGAACGUCCGUUUGAACUCAAAUUUGACAGGCAUGCUCAAUAUUACUUAAUAAGUCCAAAAAAAUUUUAAUGUUUCAGUUUCGACCCCGUUUGGUCACUGAAAACUGUACCGAACUGCAUUCUUUAUCAGAUAGCUUUCGGAUUCUAUUUCUCUCUCUACGGGUGUCAGAAUGGUAUGAAACUUUAAAUCUAGCCUCAUAAAAAUAUUUCUGACAUCCCCGCCAAUUUUCAUAAUUUUCUGAGACUGUACAUUUUCUGCUAAUUUAUCAGUCCCGUUUCUAACAGAAAAUUCUAAAUCUUCUGUUUUCGCUCCGAUUUCAACACAGGUCGCUCCCAACCGAUAUUUCACUUCUCUAAAUCUAAUAAAAUAGUAUCUCAUACUAUUUUUAUUUAUUUUUUUCUCUUUUAUAUUUAAAAUCCGGUAUGUUACAUUCCACCGCAACCUCACCGGAACCAUUUAAAUGUACACCGUAACUUCAUAAUUUUAGAAGUCCGGUACCUUACAUUCUCCUCUCCUUAUAAAGAGUUUCGUCCUCAAAACUCAAACCACAUCUCCACUCGAUUUAUCGAGCUAGCGAGGGUACCAACAUGCCUUUCCACUCCGAUUCCGACCACCGGCAUUGCAUAACGACAAUAUCAUUGGUGCAUCGGCCAAUCGCGAGUGCUUCAACUUCAACCGAACCCUUGCUCUAUCACGAGAUGGCACACUCCCGAACAUCUCAGAUCUCAAUCCUCUUUGGGAGCAAUAUCCGCACGUGGCUAUCGGUCACUCAAGUGCCUCCUAGAGACCACUUAACUUUAUCCUUUGUUACCAUAAGCCACGCUCAAAAUCACACGAACCCUCCGUUCGUGAAUCUAAGCCCAACUCACUAACAGAGUUGCCAACCGCACCGAUCAUCGGUUUUCACAGGCGGAUCAACGGUCGUAGCCAUUACGUAGGCUUACCGCCUAUACCUGGCGCAACUACGCCUAGCGUCUCUCGUUCGCACGUAGACCCAAUCAUCAUUCCCGGGCGACAUCCUUAUUGGAGAACUCGCACACACUCCAACCAGGAGCUAUCAAGACCUCAAUCAGUCGGGUCACCACACACUCGGUGUAUCAUCAAUCUCGCACUCUACCACAUGACAUUCCACGUACUCGGGUCUAAGCUCGGACUACCGUCCUGACCAACACUCUCGCCCUACCAAUAGGUAUCGGGCCGCUGUCUCUCACAGCUGACUGCGCCUGCCCAAUGGGCCCAGGCUCCACAGUCCACAAGUGGUCCAGGCACGGGUCGUCCCCGAGCACUACCCGCCAACGUCGUCCUACACGACAUGCUCUACAGAGCUACAAGUACCACUAUCGGCUCCUAAGCACCUAGUGCGAGCCACCAGCCCCACGAGUGAUCCAUGGCCCGCUUCACACUUAGCCCUGCUAAAGUGCUACUGCCAAUUCACUCAACCGGCUGAAUCGAAACCGCACCUCACGAGUAACUAUACUCGAGUGCUCCACGCCUCUACAGCGUCUCACACGAAAUCCAGCAUCAGGCAACUUGCCUAUGCACGUCAACUACACGAGCACAACUCGUCCACCUCAACAUCGAGGUACUACUAGGCCAACAGGCCCGCGUCCGUCAACUACACGGCUACUCUCACCACAGUGGUUCUACUUUCACUAUCCGAUCUACUGGAACACAUUCUCAACUCCCGAGUCUUUCGGGUAUCAUCACAUCAAGGCUCAACUCUCGUAAUUCUCUAUACCAUUGUUUCGAGAGUCACUUACCAAAUCAUGUUUUCCACGAGCCUCAUUCUUUACCUGAGAAUCCUCACUAGCCAUUAGCUAGCACCCUUUAGCUCUCUACCAGCACCAACAGGUGCUACAUUCUCACGAUGUCAGCAUGCUCGGGUAUCUACCUCUACCCGUCCCAACGGUCCCUACUAUGCAAUGUAUAAAUAGUAGCAACAGACCAACGAUGAAUGCAUGCUAUGCAUCAACCUGAGAUUAUGCAAAAGUAUAUGCUUGCUCAACUAACUCAUACCUGCCACGAUGUCGUCGGCAACGGCAGGUUCCACAGCUCGGGUCGCUUAUCCAUGGCCACUUGGCGCUCGUCGCGAACCCUCUGGCAGCAUCAUCCUCAACGGCCGCUCCCCCGACCAUGCCGCAGGUGGCACCCCUGCCGGCUGUCCCAGAGAGGAAUGGACCGUCGCUAGUGUCAAGGCCCGGCUAUCACCCUGCGGACACUCGUCCCGCACAUGACCCGGCAGCCCACACUUGAAGCACUUACCCUCAUGCUGCUCACACUGCUGUGGGAAAUGAGGGCCUCCACAAAUAGCACAUCUCGCCGAGGACCGAAUACGGUAUGUCCCCGGAGCUCGGGAUCGCGAGUGCGAAGUCCUUUGGGAACUCGAUUGACCACUGGAUCCACCUGUCGGUCGUCCUUUCCCCUUUUUCCUUGUAAUACGACUCGCGCUCUUCCCGCAUAAACGCGUUGCCCUGUUCUAUCCACAAGGCCCGAUCCAGGACUUCAGCAAAAGUCUGCAACCUGUGUACAUUCACAGCCUUGUAGAGGUCUGACCGAAGUCCACGCACAAAGCAGUCGGCCUUGUCCUUGUCACCCCGCACCACGUUCGGGAUACAAUGCACGAUACGGGAGAAUUCCCGCUCGUAUUGCCUGACCGAGCGGUCACCUUGCCGCAGCUUCCAGAACCUCUCCUCAAGCUUUUUCCUUUCACUGUCGGGGAAAUAAGCAGAGAACAACAUUCCCCGAAACUCUUCCCAAGUCAUUGGAGGGAGACUAGGCGAUCGAUCUCGCUUAACGCCUUUCCACCACACCUUCGCCGAUUGUUUCAAGUAGUGCACGGCUAGGUUUACCUUGUCCCGCUCCUCAGUGUACAGAUCCUCGAAGAGUGUUUCUAUGGAAUCAAUCCACAUUUCUACGAUCCACGGAUCUGUGUCCUCACCAUCAAAGGUAGGCGGAUCAAAUUUCUUGAAAGCCAUGAGGGCAGCCAAAGCUCGCUCCCGUUCCGCCGCCACCUCUGAACCAACAGGAGUCGGAUUACCCAACCCCGACGGAAACAUCUCUGCCGCGACUCCCGGCCGUCCAUGACGAGCCGUAGCUGGCGCAGCCACCAGCUGAUCUAGCGUCUCUUGGAGUCGUUUCAUUCGCUCCUCUUGGCGCAUGGCGGCCUCCUGCUGCCGCUGCACCACAUCAGCCUGUUGCCUCACCACUCCCACGAGUGUGGCCAACUGAUCACGAAGCUCUGCGCCUACGCUCGCUUCGACUUGCUCAGGGACACCACUUGUCCCCACCCGCGCCGAUCUGGACGAAGAUCGCCUACGCGGUGCCAUCGUUUCCUGAAACACGACAACUUGAUUAGUUCUCGACCAACUCGGGUCGAACGCGAAACCAUUAACACCGGCUCAAAAGCCAAUCGGGCGAAAGUCAUGCAAGGGCGUCUAUUCUCAUCGCUCGGCUUCAUGUUGUGUGCACCCAACAUGAACACCCUCGGUUGAGAAUCAACAACAUCUUGAAUCUACCUCCAAUAUCCGUCUUAGAGGUUUCAACACUUAACACAAUCAAUUAUCUUUCGCCAUAAAUCACAAAUCCUCGUCUCUCUCACGAGCCUUAAUCUCCUAGGCUUUUACUAUCCUAGGGUCUCCUAGGUUUGCCUAAACCAUUCCUAUUUUCUACUUUAUGCUCUGAUACCACAACUGUCACGACCCGCGACCACCCGCCUAUUUGGCCGAGGUCCCGGCGCCGCCGACAUCGCCGAAUGGACAAGGUUUCCCCUGUACAACGGACAGAGUCUCCCCUGUACAUUCAAGGCAUUGCAAUCGAUACAAUUCACGAAGGUUCCAACCAGGAACAGAUAUCAAUCAACAGAUUGCAAGAGGAGGGUAUCAUACAACAUAAACACAUCCUAAAUUAUUACAUUCAUUCGCAUUCAUAGUGUUUACAUCACAAUUACCAUUCUUUUACAUUCGACCUCCAAUCACAAUCUAAGUUAUUACAACUUAAACAAGCUCGAUACAUUUCUUUUCAUUUCUUUUAAACCCUUAAGCUAGACUGCCACAGGGUACAACUAUCUCAGUCUCUGGGGUAGGACGCUAUCUGCAGAACUACGCCCUCACCUUGCGCCGCCGCGCUGCACACGUGUGUACCUGUACCCCCAAAAACAGCAACACGGGGGUGAGACUAUUGUCCAUAGUCCUCAGUGGGUUUAGCCACCCAAGAGAACAAGCUCAGCCAACAGGUCUAACGAGGCACUGCAACAUGUUAGUUCAACAAUAUACAACAGAUAUAUAUAUUCAAUUGAAAUACAUGUCAUGCCUCACGAAAUGCAAUAUGCAAAACCUGUAAUCAUGCAAGUAGGUUACUUUAACGCUACUUUUGCUCUUAACCAUUCUUUAUUCUUUGUCAUUUAACGCUUACUUUUAGCUCUUAGCUAUUCUUUACUUGUAACCUCUCUUUAGCUAUUCUUUAUCAUUUAGCUAUUCUUUACUCUUAACAUUCUUGAACCAUGCUAUAUCUUAGCCUUUGGCAUUCUACUCUAAGGUCACUUUANGAAGGCUCCGUACAGAAUGGCACCUGCUGAGUUGAGAGAAUUGAAAGCUCAGUUGCAGGACUUGAAGGAUAAAGGCUUUGUAAAGCCUAGUGUAUCACCGUGGGGAGCUCCAGUUUUAUUUGUAAAGAAGAAAGACGGAACGUUUCGGCUUUUCGUUGAUUAUCGUGAACUGAACAAGAUCACGAUAAAGAAUAAAUAUCCGUUGCCGCGAAUUGACGACUUAUUUGAUCAGUUGCAAGGAUCGCGAGUAUAUUCGAAGAUUGAUCUUCAAUCGGGUUAUCACCAAUUGAAAAUCAAGCCAGAGGAUGUGCAUAAGACAGCGUUUCGCACUCGCUAUGGUCACUAUGAGUUUACAGUAAUGCCGUUUGGGCUUACCAACGCCCCGGCAGCGUUCAUGGAUCUGAUGAACAGGAUCUUUAAGCCACUGUUGGAUCAGUGUGUAGUGGUGUUUAUAGAUGACAUCCUGAUCUUUUCUCGAAGUAAUGAGGAGCAUGAAGAACAUUUAAGAAUAGUAAUGCAAAUUCUGCGGGAAAAGCAAUUGUAUGCCAAAUUGAAGAAAUGUGAAUUUUGGCUACGAGAGAUUGCAUUUUUGGGACACGUGAUUUCUGAGGGUGGUGUUUCUGUUGACCCAAAGAAACUAGAGGCAAUUAAAGAUUGGCCUCGCCCGACGACUGUUCCAGAGAUCCGCUGUUUCCUUGGACUUGCUGGAUACUAUAGGCGGUUCGUGGAGGGGUUUGCGAAGAUUACUACUCCACUAACGCGCCUUACACACAAAGGAGUUAAAUAUGUUUGGAGCGAGGAAUGUGAUCGUAGCUUUCGGGAGUUGAAAGAAAGGUUGACUUCGGCUCCUAUUCUCGCCUUGCCUAUUUCGGGAGAAAGCUAUGUGGUUUAUAGUGACGCUUCCUACAGUGGGCUUGGGUGUGUACUUAUGCAAGGUGGUCGAGUGAUUGCUUAUGCAUCUCGCCAACUGAAGACUUAUGAAAAGAAUUAUCCUAUCCAUGAUUUAGAAUUGGCGGCAGUGAUCUUCGCACUGAAGUUGUGGAGACAUUAUCUUUAUGGCGAGCAUUGUGAAAUCUAUACUAAUCACAAAAGCCUGAAGUAUUUAUUCACCCAAAAAGAACUGAAUAUGCGACAACGCCGGUGGUUAGAAUUGUUGAAAGAUUAUGACGUGAAUAUUCUAUACCACCCGGGAAAGGCAAAUGUGGUUGCGGAUGCACUGAGUAGGAAGUCAGUGGAGAACUUGGCUAUGUUGAUCACACAUCAACCGUCAUUGUGGAAGGAAAUGUGGCGGUUUGACCUUGAGGUAGUAGCUCCAGAGGUACCAGCUAUACUCGCCGCUUUAGUUGUUCAACCGACUUUGUUGGAACGGAUUAAAGAUCGACAAUCUUUAGAUCCAUAUCUCCAAAAGGUGCGGUGUGAAGUUGAGAGCGGGCGUGGUGAUGAUUUUACAGUGGGAUCUGACGGAGCACUUCGGUUUCGAAACCGGUUGUGCGUGCCCAAAGACGAGGAGAUUCAGCGGGCUAUUUUGCAGGAGGCUCAUCAGUCAUCUUAUAGUAUACAUCCAGGUGGCACUAAGAUGUACAGGGAUCUUAAAGUGCAUUAUUGGUGGCCUGGAAUGAAGAAUGAUGUUGGACAGUUUGUGGCGCAAUGUUUGACUUGUCAGCAGGUUAAAGCUGAGCGCAGAUUUUCCGCGGGAAAGUUACAGAGCUUGCCUAUUCCAGUUUGGAAGUGGGAGAACAUUGCGAUGGACUUCAUUGUUGGAUUACCUCGAUCGCAGGCUGGACAUGAUACCAUUUGGGUGAUUGUUGAUCGAUUGACGAAAUCGGCGCAUUUCUUGCCAAUUCAUAUCACUUGGUCAGGGGACAAGCUAGCACAGGUGUACCUCGACGAGGUUGUGAGAUUACACGGAGUCCCGACGUCGAUUGUAUCUGAUCGAGAUCCGCGGUUUACGUCUCACUUUUGGAGGAGCCUACAGGAUGCUCUUGGCACACGUCUUGACUUUAGUACAGCCUUUCACCCUCAGACCGAUGGACAGUCUGAGAGGACGAUCCAGAUUUUGGAGGACAUGUUACGGGCGUGUGUGCUUGACUUCAGAGGGAGUUGGCAUGACUCCUUGGCGAUGGCUGAGUUUGCAUAUAAUAACAGUUAUCAAGGAAGUAUCGCUAUGGCACCGUUUGAAGCCUUAUACGGGAGAAAAUGUCGAUCCCCUAUCCAUUGGAGUGAGGUAGGAGAAAGGACUGUUCUUGGUCCUGAGGUACUCCAGGAGGCGGAGGAAAAGGUACGCCUAAUCCGCCAGAGAUUGUUGACGGCCCAGUCACGGCAGCAGAGUUAUGCAAAUAAGCGCCGAAAGGACUUGGAAUUUGCAGUGGGUGAUCGGGUGUUAUUGAAGGUGUCACCAAUGCGGGGAAUGAAAAGAUUUGGAGUUCGAGGAAAGCUUAGUCCUCGAUACAUUGGACCUUACGAGAUCCUAGAGCGGGUUGGAGCAGUAGCUUACAGAUUGGCUCUACCGCCAAAACUUGAAGGAGUUCACAAUGUGUUUCAUGUUUCAAAUCUCCGAAAAUAUGUGCAUCAUUCAGGGCAUGUCCUAGAGUACGAACCAGUGGAGUUGCAGGAGAACAUGACUUACGAAGAAUAUCCAAUCUGCAUUUUGGAUCGCAAGGAUAAGGAAUUGCGAAAUCGCACCAUUCCCUAUGUGAAGGUUCAAUGGAGCAAUCACUCAGGUCGUGAGGCGACUUGGGAAUUGGAAAAUGCCAUGCGUGAAGCCUAUCCCCAUCUAUUCAACCAGGUGAACUGAGGUAUGAAUUUAAGUUUCGAGGACGAAACUAUUUUAGGAGGGGAGAUUGUAAUAGACUGAAAAUUGCUUAUAAGCUAAUUGUGAUUAAAGUAGUCACAAUAAUGCUAAAAUGGAAAUUAAAGGUUUCUAAACCUAAGUAGAGGUUUGAGAUCAGUCAUUGAGUCAUGUUGGAAGUGUGAGAAUAGAAAUAAAUGGGAUUGAAAUGGUUAAAGAACUCCAAUCGCCGUUAUUACUCUAUUGCUGAAAUUUUAGUCAACUUGGUCGAAAAAUGAUCAAGUUGAUGCUAAUUCGAAAAUGGAUUGCUUCCAAACUAUUUUGGUAGCUUGGGAAGCUUCUUUGGAAGGUUUUAGAAGUGUUGGAAUGAAAUUGGAGUGAAUUGAAUGCGAGAAACAAGAGAUUGGACAAGCUGCUGCUGCUGCUGUUAAUAUUGUCACCAGGGCUUCUUGUACCGGUACAAGAAGCCUAUACCGGUACAGCAGUUGCGGGCAGCACUUGUCCACCAAUGCAAUUUCAUGGAUUUAAAGGGCUAAAUUGCAAUUUUUCACCCUUAUCACUUCACCCUUAGUGGAAUACACUUGUCUAAAUAUCAGAGAUUCCAUUCCCUUCAUUUCUUAUCAUCUAAUUCCUUCUCUCUUUCUCUCUAAGUAAAGAAAGGGUUGAGGGGAAAUUGGAGUUGGCAGCUUGGAGGGUUGUGGGCUGAAGGAGAAGACCUGAUCCAAUCAUAGAAUUGCUGCUGAUUGGAGUUGCUAGAUCACCUGGAACAGCAACUAAUCAAGGUAAACUUGAUUAAGACUUAUGGAUUUCUUGUUAAUUACCUUGAAAAAGAUGUUUAUAUGGACUCUUGGGGGUUAGCAGCUUGAUGGUUUGGGCUUAUUGAUGCUGCGAGCAGAGACUUCAGCAGAGAGAGCUUGGAAUUGGGGUAUGUAUAUAUUGCUUCUCAGCUGGGAGCUUAGUAGGUGCUGUAGGGAAGCCUCUAAAUGAAUAAUUGAGACAUGUAAUGCAGGAAAAUUCAGUUUGGGGCUGAUCUGGUACUCGCAGGCUACCAAGCUGAAGUGAAGUUGAUGUUGUUGGUGCUGUUGUGCUGCCGAAAUGCAGGGGUGACCCAUUUCAUGCAGUGAGCAAGCUAAAUUAGCACUAAGUUAAAGUAAGUUCACUCCACAUCUAAAUAUAGUCCAAGUAGUUACUUUAGAAUGGAUCAAACUAAGAGUUCGAUUGCUGAAAUUCAGAUUUGGAGCUGAAAAUUGCAAUCUUGGUGGAACUUGGAGAAUUCCUGCAGCAGUGACCCUUUGGUAUAGCUUUUAACUAAGUUAAUAUCAAUUAUUAAGUAAUUAACUAGGAGUUAAUUACAUCUGGACUGAUUUACAUGAAGGAAUUGCUGCGAGAAGUAGAAUAAUAGAAGCUUCAGCUGAGUGAAGUUGAUGCAUUAGUGCUGAAAUUCCAACAUGGUUCAUGAUUUCAGCACUCGUAUAGAGUUGAGUAAUGAACUGAAAUAAAAGGCUUCAAGGCAGUAAUUCUUGCUAAUUGAACUAAGCGUUCUAGACUUAUAGUAGUUGCUCGACGAAGAGGUGAAUUGCUGAAAAUUCAGCAUUUGGCAACAUUUCAGUCUAGUGUAUGUACUUGGAGUUGGAAAUGCUAACUUGCAAAAUUUGAACAUGUGACUUUAGUUUAACCUCUUUUGUUAUCUUAUAAGUGAAAGUUAUUUAUUCUCGAAAGUCUAAAUUGACUUUCCGACAGGUCGGUGACGCGCUAACUACGAUAGAAGCCAUUUUGGCUCUAAUUGCUUCUAGUCGUGAGAUACCCUCGUGGAUUCACUUCGAGACGUGAGAUUUGAUUUGCGACACCACUACAGGUGGGUGGUGCUAUCCGAAAUCUUUGAAUCACCUUUUAUGUCUAUUGUAAUUCAUUGAGCAUAUUUACAUUGUAUUCACGCAUUAUAGGGUUUUGAUAUUAUGUAGUGAUAUUGAUUAUGCAAAUUCUUAUUGAAAAUGAGAACAUGUGAACAUAGAAUGUGGACAUAGAACCCUAUGAAUGCAUGGACUAUAACAAUAGUGAACUUGGUGACAUUCUAACUAGAGGUUUGGUUAGCAUCGAGAAAUGAAUUUGUGAAACUAGCAUAAAGAACUAGUUAGAGUAAAGUGUGACAGUGUUUGUCAGUUGAAUCCUCUAAAGGGGGAUCAGAUCAUACUCACAUUUGUUUGGUUCAAGUGAGGUCGCUCCUCCUUGAACGAUGAGCUCCGGAGUAGUCAUCUUUACUGGACUAGGAGGUUGCGUCUCCCCCAGUUUAGUCCUGUCGGGUGCAGGUUGCGUCUCCCCGAUAUUUGGGAUAGUGUCAGUGAGUGAUUGUUAACCAAAUGGGUUAACCAAUGAAUUGGGUAAAUUCAGUAAAAAGCAUGCAUGCAUAUUUACAGUUUACAUAUAUUGCUUUCUUUCAGCUUUGUACAGGCAUUGUAGUAGUUACAUGUUAUAGUUGGUUACUAUCUGUUUACUCCUUUUGCCUACAUAUACCUGAAUAGACCUAGUGGGUGAGUCGGCGAGGUCGGCAGCCGAACCCACUGGGAACUUUCUUGUAGUUCUCACACCACUAACCACACAGGUUCCAGUGCGAGCGUCGUGGCCAUGGAUCGCGGCAAGGGCCCCGCAGCUUAGCUAGCUGACACCAGAGUAUAGUGGUUACCAUUUUGGCUUUAUGUAUCAUCUAGUUCGAUGUACAGAGACAUGUAAAUGAAUGUAUAAUAGAAUAUGUAAAUAACUAAAUGAUUUCAUAUUCAGUUAUGUAAAAUUCAGUUUGAAAGUUUUAAAUUACAGUGAAUUUCAUAUUUAGCUAGCUUUACUAUCACUUGUGAUUGUUGCUUGCCUUCGUGCAAGCCAUGUAUACUGAAAUGUGAUCUUGGGAAUUGUUUAUUUCUCUAUACAUGUACUCGUUGUUGUUGAGCCUUGGGCGAACAGAGGAGGUGCUGUUCGUUCGGCGUCUGUGUACGGGCCCGGAUCGACCAAAUUGGCGAUAGCGGGACGUGACACGAAUGUCCAUACCGCGUACGGAACGCGGUCUUCGGGACAUCCUCCGGCUUGAUCUUCAACUGAUGGUAGCCGGAUUGAAGAUCAAUCUUCGAGUACACUCGCGACCCCUGUAACUGAUCAAACAAGUCGUCAAUGCGGGGUAACGGGUACUUGUUCUUCACAGUGACCUUAUUCAACUCGCGGUAGUCCACGCAGAGUCGAAAAGAUCCGUCUUUCUUGCGCACAAACGAUAAUGGGGCUCCCCAUGGCGACACGCUCGGCCUAAUAAACUCCUUGUCAAGAAGAUCUUGCAACUGAUCUCUCAACUCUCUCACCUCAGCCGGCGCCAUGCGAUACGGGGCCUUCGAUAUCGGCGCGGUUCCGGGAAUUAAGUCUAUCAUGAACUCAAUCUCCCGGUCCAGCGGCAUCCCCGGUAACUCUGCCGGAAACACAUCUGGGAACUCCCGCACAACCGCCAAUUCUUCGAGAGUCGGAACUACUCGAUCGACUUCCACGACAGUCGCCAAAUAAGCCGUGCAACCACUGUUGACUAGCUUCCUCGCUCUUGUCGCCGAUACCGUCGCGGCGAAACACGAACUCUUGCAAGCUCGAUACGUGAACUCCUCGUGUCCCGGCUCCCGAAAUGUGAUCACUCUGGUCUUGCAAUCAAUGGACACAUAAUACUUCGAGAGCAAGUCCAUGCCCAAUAUUAUGUCGAACUCUUUCAAUCUCUUGAGUGCCAGCAGAUCGAUCGGCAUGACCCAGUCGCCUACUUGCACUGGGCACGCUAAACACCGCUUCCUUACAAUGAAUGAUCGCCCGGGUCCUUCUACAUGCCAAACGUUCUCCCCUAGACGAAUCACAACAUCAUGCUCUAGAGCAAACGAUCGACUAAUGAACGAGUGAGAUGCACCUGUAUCGAAAAGAGCUCUCGCUCGAACACCGCUAACCAAAACCAUACCUGCUACCACAUUGCGCUCCUCGGCUUCGGUGGGCUCCUCGACUUGCACUUGAGCGGCAUACAUUCGGCCACUCGGAGCCGAUCGUGCGGGUUCAGGUUGGCGUGGCGCAGCCGCACGUCCAGCCGACGCCACAGCAGGUGGAGCUCCAUAACGAGCCGGAAUCGCCUGGGCCGAUGCAACAGACGGGGCAGGAAAAGCCCCUCCCUGAGGACAGUCACGUACCAUGUGUCCGGCUUGCCCGCACCUAAAACACUUUCCUCGGCGCUGCUCACAUACACCGGGUCGGUGGUCACCGCCACAGAAGAUACAACGCUGUGCUCCGCGGCCCUUCGACUGCGAUCGUGGAUACUUCGGGGGUCUUCUGGAACUCGAUUGUCCCCCCGAACUACCGCCCGGUCGCUUCUUCCCUUUAUCCUUCUCAUAGGUCUCACGGUUCUCACGCUCGCAAGCGUUCCCGUGCUCGACCCACAAGGCACGGUCCAAGGCCUCUGCGAAGGUGUGGAACUUGAAAGCAUGGACCGUCCUAAACACUCCGGGUCGGAGUCCCCUCACGAAGCAAUCUGCUCGGUCUUGCUCCGUCGUCGGAACGUCCGAGACGCAGUUCAAAAGAUGAGUGAACUCCCGCUCGUACUCCCGAACCGUCCGAUUGCCUUGUUUGAGCUUUCUGAAGUCUUCCCGCAUAUUCCUUUUAUCACUGUUGGGAAAGUACUCUGCGAACAUCAAUCUUCGGAACUCCUCCCAAUCGAUCGGGGGAAGAUCCGGAGAUCGAUCCUGUUUCACUCUCUUCCACCACACUCGGGCCCGCUUGUUGAAACAGUGUGCGGCCAAAUUCACCUUGUCCCGCUCCUCGGUAUUGUCACAGCCCGCGACCACCCGCCUAUUUGGCCGAGGUCGCGGCGCCGACAGUGCCGAACGGACAGGGUUUCCCCUAUACUACAGACAGAGUCUCCCCUGUACGUUCAAGGCAACGCAAUCAAUACAAUACGAGGGUUCCAACCAGGAACUGAUAUCAAUCAAGAUUGCAUAAUGGAAGGUAUCAAACAACAUAAACACAUCCUAAGCUAUUACAUUCAUUCACAUUCAUGCAUUUUACAUCUCAAUUCUCAAUUGCUUUAACUUCCAAAUACAAUCUAAGUAGUACAUCGUUUACUUAUUACAAUUUGAUACAUUCGCUUUCUUUUCAUUUCCUUUACCCCUAAGCUUUGUAGACGGGUACUGCUAGCUCUGUCUCCGUGGUAGGGCGCUAUCUACGGAGUUACGCCCUUUCCUCGCGCCGCCGCGCCGCUCACGUACGAUCCUGUAACACCCCAAAACAACGUGGGGUGAGAACCAACUCCAUGGUUCCCAGUGGGUACGGCCACCCAAGGGAAAAGCUCGACCGACAGGUUCAAAGGAGGCAACUGCAGGUUAGUUUAAUAAACAGAUAGAUAGAUAUUUUGACUAUGCAAUUAAUAGAACCAUACCUUGCCUCGCAAUUGUAACAAUGCUAUGCAAUAUGCAAUACCUGUAAAUCAUGCAAGUAGAUUACUUGAUCUACUUUAUAUCAUUAACCAUACUUUACUUGUAGCCGUUCUUUUCUUUAUUAGCUAUUCACGUUCGUUAGUUAUUCUUUAUUCUUUACUCUUUGUCUUAUUGUGCUCACUGGCGAUUCUUUCCUAAGGUUAUUUUACCUUAGCCAUCUAUGCCACUCGACUCGGUCUCGAGUCAAUCAACUGCGGAUAGUCCGCACUCUGUCCGGCUCAAGGUGAAGGACCUCUCACUUACACCUCAGCCUUCAGUCUACAAACAUCUCGCCAACGGGUCGCCCAGAGCUGCGUACACCCGUGGUCAGGGAUCUUUCCGGUGGGAAGGGGAUUAUACCACAAACUCAACCCGCGGCCCAAGACCCCCGAUAGGGAAGGGGACAUGCCACACUCAACCCUAGCAAAGCACGAUUCUGCCGACAGGAGGGGGAACCUGCCACACUCGACCCGCGGCCUCGAAUCAGCCUCAAGCUCAUCCUCGAAGUUCGUCCAGUGGGAGGGGACCCUGUCACACUCAACCCACUGCUCUAGAACUGUCGAGUUCACAAUCCUAAGAUUCCGGAAUCUAUUUCCCAAGCCUCUAGGGUAAUCUCAAACCCUAUGAUAUCGACCUAUCUAGGUCCAAUGCACUUUCUGUCCUAGGUCUAGCUGACUCUAGGUUUAAUGCCUUUUUUCACAUAACCUAUGUUCUUUAAACUAGGUUAAGCCUCUCUACCUAGAUCUUAUUAACUCUAGGUUCAACAACACUAAGUUCAUUGUCAACCUAGGUUUACCAACACUAGGUUCGAUAUCGAUUUACCUAGACCUUGAAUCUAGGUUCAUUAUGUUCAACCUAUGUUCACGACACUAGGUUAAUGCCACUCGAUCUAGCCUAGGUUCACGACACUAGGUUUAACAUCAUUCAUAUUCAUCCUAGGUUCUUGACCCUAGGUUCAUAUUCGACCUAUGUUAAUUACACUAGGUUCGGCGCCACUCGAUCUAGUUGGCCCUACUUGUCCACAUCGAGUUUCUAUAAUCAUAUAUACUCUAGCAUGCAUUCUAUGAUGCCGACAUGCAUCUACAUUUAACAUAGCCUACAUUAUCAUCGUGCAUGUUAUACAUGUAUAGCUUUUCUCAUCAUGUCAAUAAGCAUUAUCCUCUCGCAUGCAUUUUCAUAAGGUCAAUAUGCUCUUGUCAUCUAACUUGUAUUCACAUGAUGCACUUAUGCAUUUUAUCCAACCGCACUUACAUGCUCUAUUAUGAGUUGACAUGAACUAGCACUUGCAUAUAAUUCCAAUGCAUCAACAUGCCAUUAGCAACUAGCAUAAUUACUAUCAUUUAGUACAUGCAUCUUAACUAACAUGCUCACAUAAUGUUACAUGCACCUAGCAUACAUUCCAAUGCACAAAUAUAUCGCUUGUAUCUAGUUACUAGCAUGUACUUCCCAAUGCAUUAUUAUGCAAUUAUCACUAAACAUUACCCAACAUGAUCUCAUAACUCAUAAGGUUAACAAUAGGUUAACAUUCAUUUAUAUGCUCAUGUUCUCUAAUACAUGUCAACAUGAAUCUCAUAAUGCUAAAUGCCCCAAGCAUGUAUUUCACUAAGCAUACAUACUAAUAUGCAAAUUACCAACUAGCAUGCAUUUAUACAAUGCAAAUAUGCCCGUAUGCACAUACAUAUAUGCAUCAACCAAAAAUCUAUAUUUCGCUUUGACAUGUGGGGCGACCAAGUCGCUUCGGUAAGCACAACCCACCUCGAUUCGCGUUCCGAUUGCUU
rnacentral:lncRNA from 1 species